rnacentral:rRNA from 1 species
UACAGAGGGUGCGAGCGUUAAUCGGAAUUACUGGGCGUAAAGCGCGUGUAGGCGGCCCUGCAAGUCGGGUGUGAAAUCCCCGGGCUCAACCUGGGAACUGCAUUUGUGACUGCACGGCUGGAGUGCGGCAGAGGGGGAUGGAAUUCCGCGUGUAGCAGUGAAAUGCGUAGAUAUGCGGAGGAACACCGAUGGCGAAGGCAAUCCCCUGGGCCUGCACUGACGCUCAUGCACGAAAGCGUGGGGAGCAAACAGG